GGGAUUUGACUUUUAUUCUGAUUGGCAGAACAGAAAUUUUGUUGAAAUUCUUGUGCAUGGACUGACACCGUUCUUUGAUUUACAAUCUCGUAAAGGAGCCGAAGAAAAGUUAGACCAUAGCUUUUAAAUGUCUAGUUUCUAGUUAUAUUAUCUUGUUGUUCAUUUUAAAGCUACAGUUAGUAUCUUCUUGCGAUUUAGUCAUAGGUUAUUCUAAAGCGUAUCCACAUUUGUUAAAAGAAUUUAUUUCGGCUUAAGUUUAAAAUCUAAAUCCACUUUUUACCAACUAGAAUCUCCCUUUCCAAGGUGCAUAUUUUUCUUUCGCUAUUCUCAAUUGUUCUGAAGCUUUAUGCAGAUGUAAUAUUCUUUUAUUUAUAGUCUUAAAGUUAAAUUCCGCUGUUAAGUUGUAGUCCGCUGUAAAUUCUGUUUUCAUCUUUAUUAACCCAGAACUAACGAACUAAUUUGCGAUAUCUCAUUCUAGUCUUACUAGGUCCUGUGUAUUAUUCAAAUGUAAAUACGAACUAGAUUUUAAGGGGUAAUUGUGUUUGCUUUUUCAGAAAGUAACUUGUAAGUAGAAAUUAAAAUGAAAACAUGUAGUGAAUACGAGUGAAUUAAAAUUAUAUUUUAAACAGCGAAGUAGUCAAAAUAGGAUCCAGGUAAUUUUUUAAAAAUGUAAUUUCUUAGACGAAAGAUUUCGUUUAAUUUUAAAAUGUCCCAACAUGAAACUACUCUGGACUUGCAAAAAAUGCUUUGGACAAAGUUUGUGUUGUACUUUAUCUGUGUGCCAAGAUAUAAUGUUUACUAUAUAUAUUUGCAUAAGAUGGGAUAGGUAUUUAAAAGGUAACUUGAAAAAAAAUGUGUGCUUAAAAUUAAAUCAAAACAGCUUGAAACAAUCUUGAGCAAAUUAGGUCUUGAAAUGGAGAGGGGCAUGAAAUAUUAGUGCAGUUCCGUCCGUCUGAAAUCGGCAUUGAAUUUUAGUAGGAUAAAUACUUAAAAUCACGAUCAUUUAAUUCCUAUUUUAAUUAGUUCAAAAAUUGUUCCUUUAAAAUUGCUCGGACGUGUAAUGUCGAAGAAAUGCUCAAUUAGGUUUCCUUACUCCUUUGGAAAUUCACUUCUGAGAACUUUCUCGCAUGGUUUAAAAGAAUCAUCUGAAAGCCUUCAGAAUGCAUUCGAAUCAAUAUUUCUGAUAUCGUAAAAUGCGAAAGAAAUAUUCGUAAUCUUUAGAUAUUCUGUGCAAGCGGCUUCUAAGCGGCGAGAUUGCUACAAUUAUGAGGUCAUUAUUUGGCAUUGUCUGGUGCAAUAAGAUCUUUGAUGUUUUUCAUACCAUGUACUUGAGAAAAGGAAGAAUAGAUAAGAAUGACAUUUUUGGGCACUUGAAUCUUCAGUUUAUAUUGCAAGACUUGCUCUAGGUUUUUAAUGUUGAUUCAUUUGGAGUCGUUACCAUAUGCAUUAAUUAUCUAUUGGAAAAAGGACAUAUUCCAAUGCCUUUUCAAACACUGCUGUUUGAAUUCCAAACUCAAAAGCUGUCGAAAGCGGAUACCUGUAUAUCCAAGAAACCAUUUCAGGAUGGAAUCGAAAUGAUAUUGGUUGGAAAACAUAAAACCUGCAUUUUUUCUCUUCUGGUGAAUAGACAUGCCAUCCACCAGAAAGAAGCAAGACUGCUUUCUACAUUCCACAUUACUUAUGAAUUGUCAACUUCAAAGGAAUAUUUUCUCGAAUCCAGUAAAGUGACUUGUAAUAGAAAUUCAAGGCCAGGUAAAUUCCUGUAUUAUAAAACACCUUAAAGCGAUUUGAAAAUGCCAUGUAAUUUAUUUAUUCUUCCAGAAGAGAUUUUCCAACUUCUGUAAAGAAAUUCAAACAUCAGGAUAGGGACACAUCUUUUAAAAUAGUUACAGCACUUUCAAUUCCCUCAACACGGAUCAAUUCAAGCACGUGUCAUUCUGAGAUCACUUUCUUGGUAUAUAGGGACAGAAUUAAUCCGAGAUCUGAGUUGGUCAGCGUGUGACAUCCACGAGGAAGAUGUUCUUCAAUAGGACACGUUCGGCUAGGAACAUAAGGAGCUGAGCACAUAGCACAAGAAAUGUUUCAGAUAUCUGCUAAUAUGAAUCAACCGAAAUGGGCGACGUUUAGCAUUUUGAAAUUAUGUUUUACAUUUAUGGAUGGAGAACCAGAAGAUAUAGCUAACAAUCUGUAAAAUCCUCAAUGCAUAUCGCCAAAAAAUGUGACUACGAAUACGGAUCUUCAGAACUAAACUAAUAAAUAAUACAUAAUCCAUUUCCCCUGAGUGGAUUCUUUAUGUGUGAAUAACGACAUGCCAUCAACCAUCAGAAGACCGGCUACAUUCUCAACUCCUUGAUGAGUUGACAAUUUAUACAGGAAAUGGAAAAUAAAGAUGACAUCGAAAUAGAAAUACAAAUACACCUAUAAUGCAGAUUCAAGCCAUAAUUACCUGGCAACAUUUAUCGAGACAGAUGCAACAUUUCCAGCGGUUUCUCAAUACAAGAAUAAAGGAAAUCGAAACACGUAUCAUUGGAUCAACUUAUCCAUGUGAGGGUAGAAUUGAUCGUUCGCCUGAGAAUGCUACAAUCGUCUACACGUCGUUGCAUUCCAACCAAGUACCUCUUCAGAUGGUGAAACUGAUGGGAUAAAGAUUGUUCCCAGAUGCCUGUUAACAUGUUUGAACUGAAAUGAUUGCAAUAAAGCAAACAUUCUGACCCUUCUUCAAACGCAUUUUGGAAUUCGAUGCUUCUACAAGUGAAUUGCGAGAGAAGACUGAGGUGAUCCUAUUGAUACUUUGUAAAUCAUGCGAUUAAUUUCAAGCUCAAUUUGUCAUUAAAUGUUAGUAUAAAACCCCCAAUAUAUGAAGAAUCUGCUAGAAAUAUUUCUGCGAUCUUCGUUAAUUUUGAAUAUCCAGGCAUGUUUAAAAUGUUUGCUUCUGCAUUAAGGUUAAGCGAAAUUUGUAUAUUUACUUUUUGCAGAAUACUAUUGACAAAUGGUGAACUACUUUGUUUGAAACUCUACGAAAGCUUGAAGUUAGAGCUAUAACUUCCGUAUGUUUUAUAUCGCCCUUAUUUGUUCAAAACAAUAAUUGAUAUAUCAAACAAUAUUUAAUCUUAAAAUCUUUGCUCAUGUUUUAUUCAGAAAGAAACUGAAUACAAUUACGACACAUAUUGUAAUGGCUAUUCAGUUCUUUCAAAGCAUAUUUUGUACUCUUUUGUAAACAAGCUUUGGAAAGGAUUUUGCGAUGGUAGCAAAAUUCCUAGUGAUAUAUUUUGUGGUUCACUAUUUUGCUAGCAAUCCCUUUUUCUUAAAGGAUGGAAGCAUGAUACAUUUGUUCGCUGUAUAAUGAAUAAAAUCUUUGUUUAAAAUUCUACUUGUGACCAUGCCUAUUAGAAGCUCAGCAUGUUAAUUAGCCUAUUAUGAGCUCUGUAUUCAUAAUAAUUAUUAUUAUUACAACUAUAACUUGGAGUUAAGAACUGGAAUUAUUCCAAUUAUUUUUCCCAUUGUAUUUAUGACGUCUUCCGACAUUAAAUGCAAUUUAUCAUUUGUAUUAUGGCAUUUGUGAAUUGUUAAUAUUAAAUGACGGACUUCCACUGUAUAAUUUUGAAAAUUGAGCUUUUCUAUUUUUGAAAUCUUGUGAAACUCCGCUAUAUUGGUAGAAUAUCUUGCUGUUUAAUCUCAAAUUUUAUAAAAUUGCUGCUCUUCUUACUAUAGUAUCGAGUCGAUUCAUCUGUCUUCAUUUUGCGAGUAUGAAUUGAAUACCAAAGAAUACUACACGAUUAAAAAUAUAAUAUGGAUAAAUGUAGUACCUAUAUCGAACUUUGUAUAUUUUAUAAGAAUCUUGAUAUUCUCAUUUGUAAUAGUUUUAUGAUUUAGGAAUUUGUUUAUUUUAUGUAAUCGAAAAUUUCUAUCUUGAAUAAGAGCGUUAUUCCAAAAGCUCUAAAAUGAAAUUCUGUUUGAUAUGCAAUAUAAAUUGUAUAAUUCAGUUAAUAUAAUGCAUGAAUAGUCUUCCUUAACGGAAGAAACGUGUUUGUAUUAUAUAUAGAAGACGAGGUAGAAAGAUGCGU